rnacentral:rRNA from 1 species
AAGUUAGCGGCGGACGGGUGAGUAAUACCUAGGAAUCUGCCUGGUAGUGGGGGACAACGUUUCGAAAGGAACGCUAAUACCGCAUACGUCCUACGGGAGAAAGCAGGGGACCUUCGGGCCUUGCGCUAUCAGAUGAGCCUAGGUCGGAUUAGCUAGUUGGUGAGGUAAAGGCUCACCAAGGCGACGAUCUGUAGCUGGUCUGAGAGGAUGAUCAGCCACACUGGGACUGAGACACGGCCCAG